UACAGAGGGUGCAAGCGUUAAUCGGAAUUACUGGGCGUAAAGCGUGCGUAGACGGUUAUUUAAGUCAGGUGUGAAAGCCCCGGGCUCAACCUGGGAAUUGCAUUUGAGACUGAAUAGCUAGGGUGCGGAAGAGGGAAGCGGAAUUUCCGGUGUAGCGGUGAAAUGCGUAGAUAUCGGAAGGAACACCAGUGGCGAAAGCGGCUUCCUGGUCCAGCACCGACGUUCAGGCACGAAAACGUGGGGAGCAAACAGG
rnacentral:rRNA from 1 species